UUUUAUGGUCAAUGUUGCUAAUGAAAUGUUAUUUAUUUGCAUUGUAGAUUUUGUUGGUUCCAUUCGGCGAGGCCAUAUUUAUUUCACGUUUAAUAAAAUUUUAGGUUCAAACUCAUUUUCCUAAUUCUGUGGCCUCGAUUUGACUAUUUUUAUAGUAGUAAUUGAGAAAUAAGUUGAAGAAAAAAUGUUUCUUCUCUGUAUUCUUAUUGUGGUUGAUAAUUUCACUUGUUUACUAGUGAGGACUUACUAUUUGAAUAAGGUUAAUUAUAAAUUUAUGUUUUAUCAUUUACUAUUGUGCUGUCUUUGGAGUUUAUUUGACUAAAAGGUGUUGAAAAUGGUUGCUUUCUGAAGGCUUAAGGUUAGUUAAAUUGGUCGGGCCUUGUGUACAAUGAUUUGAUUUUUGAUUAUAUGCUGGUUUAUGUACAAUGAUUUGAUUUUUGAUUAUAUGCUGGUUUAUGGACUCAAUGGGUCAUUUUAUCUCUAUGUUACCCACCAUUUCGGUGUCACAAGGCAGGUAAAACUUUAUGACAAAAAUCUGGGUUAUAUCCUAAUCGUUAAAUUUACUGAAUUUUGUCCUUAUUAACAGGAUACAGAGAAUGAUUUACCUCUUGCCUUGGAGAAAGAGGGAGCUUGAUAGCAUUUGUAAGAAGCAAGAAAAUUAUUUGAGUCCGAGCCGGAGAAGCUGAAUUAAGUCAUACAUCAACUGGAGGUCAGAAAAAUUGCUGCCUCACUACUGGAGUAUGAUGUGAAAGUUGAGAUGCUAUGGCCGUGUGAAUUUUUUUUCAACUGCAAUGCUAUUCAAAGGUCACAACAGGAGCUUCAAUUGAAUCUGGAAAAUGUGGAGUUUGAUACUCUUGGCUCAUAUAAAAAUGGUCACAAUAUCCAAGGAUGACACUAUUAUUCUUGAUGGAGCUGGUAAGAAGGAAUCCAUAGAGGGAAGACAUGAACACGUUUGUGUUGCUUCAUUCACCUUGUUACUAAAAAGCUAGAGGAGCCUUGAGGUAAAAGAUACUGGGUCUUUUGAUCACUUCAAUUUGUAUACUUAGUUUCAUACACUCCUUUACUUUCUAUGUUGAUGCACGUCCUUAGCAAUUAAAGUUGCCCCUUUCUAUUUGAAUUAAAUAAGCAACCGGU